rnacentral:rRNA from 1 species
CCUACGGGUGGCAGCAGUGAGGAAUAUUGGUCAAUGGCCGGAAGGCUGAACCAGCCAAGCCGCGUGAAGGACGAAGGUGCCAAGCAUUGUAAACUUCUUUUGUCAAGGGACAAAAUCAGGCUCGAGAGCCUGACCGUGGGUACUUGAAGAAAAAGCAUCGGCUAACUCCGCGCCAGCAGCCGCGGUAAUACGGAGGAUGCGAGCGUUAUCCGGAUUUAUUGGGUUUAAAGGGUGCGUAGGCGGGCUUUUAAGUCAGCGGUGAAAGCCCCGGGGCCCACCCCGGCGAGGCGGUUGAAACUGGCUGCCUUGAGAGGUCGAAGGGUAUGCGGAAUGCGCAGUGUAGCGGUGAAAUGCUUAGAUAUUGUGCAGAACUCCGAUUGCGAAGGCAGCAGACCGGCGGCGAUCUGACGCUGAGGCACGAAAGCGUGGGUAUCGAACAGGAUUAGAUACCCGAGUAGUC